UCCACCUGUGAUUGCUUGCAGUUUUAUAAUAAAGACUGUUGCUACUACUAUCCAAGUUGCCACUUCCUUGUGUUCUGCAUUUGGGUCCUUAGAUCGUGCUUUACGACAGAAUAAUCUGGCCAACAUGGACCCAGUGGAUACCAACCCGGAAGUUGCCCCAUUCCAUCAAGCCCUAACCAGCCAGGAGAUUCUUCUGGGACAACAUGAGCAGGGCCUCCAGACUCUCUCUGAUAGCAACCAAGCCAUGUUGACCCAGAUCACACAACUAAUCAACCAAGUAUCAAGACUAACUACACAGCUCUCGUCUCCAGUCCCAAUGGCACCAUCUCCGCCGACUACUCCAGCGACUCCGUCACCAACCUCACCAGUACUCCGGGAUUCCUACGCCUCUGACCCAGAUCCCUUCACUGGAGAUGUCACUAGAUGCCAGGGUUUUUUGCUGCAAUGCUCUCUGGUCUUCUGCCAGUGUCCCGUAAUGUUUGCUUUGGAUCAGUCCAAGGUACAUUAUAUUGUGGAGUUACUAAGAGGAAGAGCAUUAGCCUGGGCGGAGGCUAUUCAUUAAAGCCAACCCUUGUCGUCAUUCUCCUUAGCAGAGUUUUUUGCUAAAAUGAGGAAUGUGUUUGAUCAUCCGGAUGCUUGUGGGAACGCGGGGAGACGGUUACUACAGAUCAACCAAGGGACCCAAAGCGUGGUGGAUUAUUCCAUUGAGUUCAGGACACUGGCUGCUGAUGCUGGGUGGAAUGAGGAAGCACUUAUCUGCGCGUUUGUGAAAGGGUUGUGUGAACAUGUCAAGGAUGAGCUGGCGGCUCGGGAUGAGCCCACCAACCUGUACGCUAUGGUGUCUCUGUGUAUCAGGAUGGACAACAUACGCGAACGGCGCCAGGAGCAUGCCAGCCAUCUCUUCAACCACUCCUCACACAACAUGGCCCCCACUAUGCACAAGAGACCUGGAACGCCAAUCCUGACCGCAGAUACACCCAUGCAACUGGACCAAGCCCAUCUCAUGCCGGCCAAGCGUCUCCGCAGAAGAACAGCUGGGGAAUGUCUGUACUGUGGCGACAGUGGUCACUUUCUGGAAACAUGUUCGGUACGUACAAAAGAAUAGGCUCACCAGUCACAGUGGGGAUCCAGGUGAGCCAAGACAACCCCUCGAGCCUAGGGCUCCCCUAGGCUACAAAUCCAGGCCACCCUCUACAACCAACAUAUGUCGCUUCCAUUAUUGGCUCUCAUCGACUCCAGGGCUGAGGGUAAUUUCCUGGAUACCGAGUUGGCUCAACAGGCUGGCAAGCAAAACUAUGAAGUCGGGAACAGGGAACUCCUGGCUGUCAAAUUAGCAUUGGAGAAAUGGCAUCACUGGUUGGAGGGAGCAGAACAACCAUUUGUGGUUUGGACAGAUCAUAAGAACCUAGAAUACAUCCAAACAGCCAAGAGACUCAACUCCCGACAAACACGUUGAGCUCUGUUCUUUGGCCGUUUCAAUUUUACGCUCACUUACCAUCCCGGAUCCAAGAACGUUAAACCCGAUGCACUAUCCCAUCAGUACCACUCCCAGGACAGCACCUCCGGACCUGAUACCAUCCUCCCUUCCACCUGUGUGGUGGCUGCAGUGACUUGGGAGAUCGAGUCCAUAGUAAGGGAGGCACAGCGGAACCAGCCGGACCCCGGGAACGGUCCUCCUGAUCACUUCUUUGUCCCUAACUCUGCUUGUUCUCAGGUGCUCCAGUGGGCUCAUAACUCUUGUUUCGCCUGCCACCCUGGAAUGACUCAGACUCUCUCUCUGCUCAGAUGACACUUUUGGUGGGCUACGAUGGAGGCUGAAACCCGGGCCUUCGUGGCAGCAUGUUCCAUCUGCACUCGAGGUAAAUCCUCUCAUCAGCCACCAGCGGGCCUGCUACGGCCAAUUCCUGUCCCUGGUCGCCCUUGGUCUCACAUAGCACUGGUCUUCGUUAUCGGGUUUCCCCCCUCUCAAGGUAAUACCACCAUCCUCACCAUUGUAGAACAUUCUUCCAAAGCAGUUAAUUUUUUGGCAUUAACCAAACUCCCCUCAGCUCAGGAGAUGGUGGACCUCCUAGUCCAACAGGUUUUCUGUCUUCAUGGCAUUCGACUCAACAUAGUUUCCGACCGGGGCCCCCAGUUCAUCUCGCAGGUCUGGAAGGCGUUCUGCCAAGCCCUGGUAGCUACCAUCGGUCUCUCCUCCGGGUUUCAUCCAGACCAAUGGCCAGACAGAGAGGGCCAGUCAGGACCUUGAGGCAGCCCUUCGGCUUCUUUAGGGUACCAGCCUCCUCUGUUCCCAUCUUAGGAGAGUGAGCUUGCGGUCCCUUCUGUUCAACACCACCUCCCGCCGUAAGAUUUGGAAGGAGACCUGGGCAGCACUCCUCCGGUCUGCGGAGAGGAAUCGCCACAUCGCAGAUCGGCACUGGACUCCAGCGCCACCAUACAAACCAGGUCAGAAAGUUUGGCUUUCUUCCAGAAACAUCCCUCUUAGAACCGAAUCCAGGAAACUGUCCCCCCCCCCGUUAUAUUGGCCCAUUCGUCAUCGAACGCAUCAUUAAUCCCUCCGCAGUCAAGCUCAAACUACCCCGCUCCAUGAGAGUCCACCCCAAUUUCCACAUUUCCCAACUGAAACCAGUCUUCUCCAGCACUCUGUGCCCUCCUUCCAAUCCCCCUCCACCCACUCGGGUCAUUGAUGAUCAACCGGUUUACUCCGUACGGCGGCUGCUGGAUGUGCGCCGACGGGGAAGGCAAUUCUAGUAUCUCGUGGACUGAGAGGGAUAUGGUCUGAAGGAGAGGUCCUGGGUCCCACGUUCUCUCAUCCUCGAUCCACGCCUGGUGAGAGAGUUCCACCAAUCCCAUCCGGAUAAGCCUGGAGGGUCGCCAGGAGGCUCCCGUUAAGGGGUUGGGUACUGUCUGAGUUAGCCACAUCUCUCUCCUGACCCUUGUGUGCUCUAGUGUGCUCUCCCUUCCCUGUGUUCCUUGUCUGUCCUCUGUCGGUCACCGUGUGUGUGUGUAUGUCGGUGUGUAUACUGGUCUGGCUCCCUGGUCCGCCCUCCUGCUGCUGAUCACCAGCACACCUGACGUUCAUCACUCAUAAGUCUCCACAGUAUAUCUACCUGGCUUCACCAUACUACCAGCGCUAGAUUGUCUCCGUACAUCAAGCUAUUCCCUGCUGGUGAUCCCAGCCACUGUAUCCUCCCUGAUCUCGGCUAAGCUGCUCUACUGUCUUGCCAGCCACACUACACAGGCCAGCUGCCGUUUCCUGUCCUGUCAGCCAUACUACACCGGCCAGCUGCCUUUUCCUGUCCUGCCAGCCACACUACACAAGCCAGCUGCCUUCCCAGUCCUGCCUCUCACGCUACACGAGCCAAGCCCAGCACCUACACUCAGCAUCGCCGUCCCCUGAGACUAGCCGGUUCCUCACAGACCAUAUUUACUACAUCGUCACUGGCUACAGCGGACUACACAACUUGCCCACUCUGGAAGAGCGUUUA